CGUUCCCGGGCCUUGUACACACCGCCCGUCACGCCACGAAAGUCGGCAACACCCGAAGCCGGUGGCCCAACCCUUGUGGAGGGAGCCGUCGAAGGUGGGGCUGGCGAUUGGGACG
rnacentral:rRNA from 1 species